rnacentral:rRNA from 1 species
GAUUAACGCUGGCGGCGUGCCUAACACAUGCAUGUCGAGCGGCAGCGAGUUUUACACUGAAUUCUGGAAGCUUCUAGUUGCAAGAGAAGAUUUAUUCAAGAAUUUUGUGUAAAAUGUCGGCGAGCGGCGGACGGCUGAGUAACGCGUGGGAACGUACCCCAAAGUGAGGGAUAACGCAUCGAAAGGUGUGCUAAUACCGCAUAUGGUCUUCGGAUUAAAGCCUUCGGGCGCUUUGGGAACGGCCUGCGUAAGAUUAGAUAGUUGGUGGGGUAAUGGCCUACCAAGUCGACGAUCUUUAACUGGUUUGAGAGGAUGAUCAGUCAGACUGGAACUGAGACACGGUCCAGACUCCUACGGGAGGCAGCAGUGAGGAAUCUUCCACAAUGGGCGAAAGCCUGAUGGAGCAACGCCGCGUGCAGGAUGAAGGCCUUCGGGUUGUAAACUGCUUUUAUAAGUGAGGAUUAUGACAGUAACUUAUGAAUAAGGAUCGGCUAACUACGU